rnacentral:lncRNA from 1 species
AAAUAGCCCACCCGUUUUUUGGCCAUUUUUCCGCUGGGGGGUCUUGGGACCCCGACCUUCGGGGGCUGAUUUUUGGGCGCGGCUGUGCCCGUGGCCUAUUUUUGGCACACGGAGGCCGCCCGCCAAGUAUGGUGCCAUUCCGAGUCCGGCGGACGAACUUCGCCCACGCCCCCCACCAAGGCGAUAGCCCACCCGUUUUUUGGCCAUUUUUCCGCUGGGGGGUCUUGGGACCCCGACCUUGGGGGGCUGAUUUUUGGGCGCGGCUGUGCCCGUGGCCUAUUUUUGGCACACGGAGGCCGCCCCGUAUGUCUGGGGCCAUUCCGAGUCCCGCGGACGAACUUCGCCCACGCCCCCCACAUAGGCUAUAGCCCACCCAUUUUUUGGCCAUUUUUCCGCUGGGGGGUCUUGGGACCCCGACCUUCGGGGGCUGAUUUUUGGGCGCAGCUGUGCCCGUGGCCUAUUUUUUGCACACGGAGGCCGCUCGCCAAGUCUGGUGCCAUUCCGAGUCCCGCGGACGAACUUCGCCCACUCCCCCAACCAAGGCUAUAGCCCACCCGUUUUUUGGCCAUUUUUCCGCAGGGGGGUCUUGGGACCCCGACCUUCGGGGGCUGAUUUUUGGGCGCGGCUGUGCCCGUGGCCUAUUUUUGGCACACGGAGGCCGCCCGCCAAGUGUGGGGCCAUUCCGAGUCCGGCGGACGAACUUCGCCCAUGCCCCCCACCAAGGCUAUAGCCCACCAAUUUUUUGGCCAUUUUUCCGCUGGGGGGUCUUGGCACCCCGACCUUCGGGGGCUGAUUUUUGGGCGCGGCUGUGCCCGUGGCCUAAUUUUGGCACACGGAGGCCGCCCGCCU